rnacentral:tRNA from 1 species
GUCUUUGUGGCGCAAUCGGUUAGCGCGAUUGGCUGUUAACUGAAAGGUUGGUGGUUCAAGCACACCCAGGGACG